rnacentral:tRNA from 1 species
GGCGUUGUAGCUCAACUGGUAGAGUGCGCGCUGUACAAGAGCGUAGACGACGUCCAUGCGUGGGUUCGAAUCGCACCGAGGCUA